rnacentral:rRNA from 1 species
GACAGAGGAUGUAAGCGUUAUCCGAAAUGAUUGGGCGUAAAGCGUCUGUAGGUGGCUUUUCAAGUCCGCCGUCAAAUCCCAGGGCUCAACCCUGGACAGGCGGUGGAAACUACCGAGCUGGAGUACGGUAGGGGCAGAGGGCUCGUAGAGCCGGUGGAGCGGUGAAAUGCGUAGAGAUCGGAAAGAACACCAAUGGCGAAAGCACUCUGCUGGGCCGACACUGACACUGAGAGACGAAAGCUAGGGGAGCAAAUGGG